AAUGAUUNUAGGUGCUUGCACUUGNAUGAUUUGACAUUGAGACGAGUGGCGAACUGGUGAGUAACACGUGGGUAACCUGCCCUUGAAGUAGAGGAUAACACUUGGAAACAGGUGCUAAUACUGCAUAACAACGAAAACCGCCUGGUUUUCGUUUGAAAGAUGGCUUCGGCUAUCGCUUUAGGAUGGACCCGCGGCGUAUUAGCUAGUUGGUGAGGUAACGGCUCACCAAGGCAAUGAUACGUAGCCGACCUGAGAGGGUAAUCGGCCACAUUGGGACUGAGACACGGCCCAAACUCCUACGGGAGGCAGCAGUAGGGAAUCUUCCACAAUGGACGAAAGUCUGAUGGAGCAACGCCGCGUGAGUGAUGAAGGGUUUCGGCUCGUAAAACUCUGUUGUUGGAGAAGAACGGGUGUCAGAGUAACUGUUGACAUCGUGACGGUAUUCAACCAAGAAAGCCACGGNUUACUACCUGCCAGCAGGCCGNGGUNAUUAAAA
rnacentral:rRNA from 2 species